UACGGAAGGUCCGGGCGUUAUCCGGAUUUAUUGGGUUUAAAGGGAGCGCAGGCCGUGGAUUAAGCGUGACGUGAAAUGCCGUGGCUCAACCAUGUAAGUGCGUCGCGAACUGGUCUACUUGAGUGGGUACGACGCCGGCGGAAUUCGUGGUGUAGCGGUGAAAUGCUUAGAUAUCACGAAGAACCCCGAUUGCGCAGGCAGCCGGCGAGUCCCUUACUGACGCUAAUGCUCGAAAGUGCGGGUAUCGAAC
rnacentral:rRNA from 1 species